AUUGAACGCUGGCGGCAGGCCUAACACAUGCAAGUCGAGCGAGCGGCGGACGGGUGAGUAGUGUAUGGGGACUGCCCGAUCGCGGGGGCUAACUACUGGAAAAGGUGGCUACAAUCGCAUACUAUCGGUUAACACAUAUGGGAUGAGCGGCUGGGUGGGGUAAAGGCUCACCUAGGCGACGAUCUCUAGCUGGUCUGAGAGGCUGAUCAACCCCACUGGGACUGAGACACGGCCCAGACUCCUACUGAUGCAGCAUUGUUAAAUAUUGCACAAUGGGCGCAAGCCUGAUACAGCCAUGCCGCGUGUAUGAAGAAGUCCUUAGGGUUAUAAAGUACUUUCAGCGGGGAGGCGUUACCCGCAGAAGAAGCACCGGCUAACUCCGUGCCAGCAGCCGCGGUAAUUC
rnacentral:rRNA from 1 species